UCUAACUCUGCUUUACUGCUUUACAUUCUUGCAAUCAUCGCUUCUAUUUUUCUUUCUUCCCUACAGCGAAAAAAAAAAGGGGAAAAAACCCUUGAACUUCCGGGCUGCACUCUUACCGAAAAAUACCUCCACAACCACCGUCUUCGUCGGCUGUGCCACCUAAACACCACCAUUGGCUCUAUUUCUCCUUCUUCUACAUCAUAACAAACAAAAGCAAAAAAACCCUUGAACUUUCAGUCUCCCAUUUCCAUUCCCGAAAAACACUUCCACCGCUGACAUCUUCAUCUACUGUGCCACCCAAUAACCACCAUCGGCCCACCACUCAUUCAUCUACCAAUUCUUCCACAACGUCGUUUUACAAACCCAGCGCGGUAUCCGCUACGACUACUCCUAGUGAAACUAAAGAAAAUGUCACCGUUUCUUUACGAUUUCGGCUCCUUAGGUAAUAUAUUUCUUCUUUUCUUUAAAUUCGUUGACUCCUAGACGUCGGUAUUAAGUGGGUUCCGCAAAUACGUAGGAUAGUUUCGUGAAUGGCGUUUGGAAGAUUGAAUUUUUUGGUUUAUCUGUUGACUUGAUUGUUUUUGGGAUUCUUAGGUGAUGAUAUGAGGCAUAUUUUAGAUUUUGUAUAAUCAAUUUUAGGGAUUCUUUUUUCCAUGAAUUCUCUUUAUUAGGACUUCAGAAUUUGUUGCUACAUAGCUCGAGAUAUAAGGACUUCAGAAUUGGUUGCUAUCAAAGUGAUAUCAUUAGCUGAAGGGGUACUUAUUAUAUUCUUUUUUUUUUUUUUAAUUGCAUAUGAUAAUACCAUAUAAGUUUAGUGGAUCGAAUAUGAAGUUUGAAAUCUCAUAAUUUAUAAGAGGACGGUUAUGAAGAAAUUCGUGGUGAAAUUGAGAUGUUGCAGCAAUGUUGUCACCGUAACAUUGUUCGUUAUCUAGGUAGCUACCGAGGAGAAGAAUAUCAUUGGGUAUGAAGAAGAUCAUCGGCCUUCAAUUAUAUAAUAAUUUUUUUAUCUUUUUGGGAUGGUUUCGAGAACAUGAUGCUGUGUACCCCCUCCUCUUGGUUUCUAAAUCAGAUGAAAACUGUUAGUUAUUCACUUGAAUUUAAAUAUUCGAGAAUUUUGUAUAUGUUGGCAUUUGUAAUGGAUUAUUUUGGGGGCAGGAGUGUUGCUGACUUGAUGAAUGGCCUUAGCCUCUAGAGGAGUGUAAAAUAGCAUAUAUCUGCAGAGAGGCAUUGAAGGUACCAUCAUUUUGGUUAGUUAUAUUUCCAAAUCGAACUUUUUAUCUUUACUACAGAUAUAACCGUGUCCUUAAAGAAUGCUGGGAUUGUUAUUGGGUAAUGUGGAAUGAUUUUGUCCAUGUGAUAAUGCUUCACCAUCCAAGGUUAAAAUAUAUC
rnacentral:lncRNA from 1 species